CUGACUGAGCCACCCAGGGGCCCCAAUUCUGUUUUGAAUUUUUUGAGGCACCACCAUACACAGAGGAUUUUAAAAUAUAAAUUUUGUCACGCCCUUGCUCAACACCCUCUGUUCACUUCUUGUUACUCUUAGAAUAAUAUCAAAGACCCUACUAUGGCCCACAGGGCCUGAUAAAACCAGCCCGCGGCCGCCUCACCAGCCUCACAUCCUGCCACUCGUCUCCCUCCCUCUGCUGUGGCCAAUUCCAGCGUCUCGCUGCUCCUUGUCACCCCAGCCAUGGCCCCACGGCAGGGAUUUAGCUCUUGUCAUUCUCUGCCUCCGGUGCCCUUACCUGGUGACUGACAUGGCUCAUGCCCUUGCCUCAUUCAGGUCUCAGUUCAGAUGUCCCCUCCUUCUGACCCCCCAAUUUCAAAUAGCACCCCCAUCAUCUCUAUAUCCUUAUUUUUAAUGUGCCAUUUCAUCUCUAUCUGACAAGCAGGGAAUUUAUAUUACUGGCACUCACGUAUGAUACUAACGACUCGCCUCGUACUGUUCCAAACACUUUACGUAGACUGACACGACUGACCUUAACGGCAGCCUUACGAAUUAGGUAUUUUUCUUCUUCUUCUUAUCAUCAUCAUCAUCAUCAUCAUCAUCAUCAUCAGUAUCUGCAUUUUACAGAUGAGAAAACUGAGACACCACGGGUUAAAUAACUUCCCUAAGGUUCUACAGCUAGUAAUUGACAGAGAUGGGCUCAAACCAAGGCAGCUGGGGUCCAGAAUCCACUCUACUGUACUGGGGAAACUACGUACGUGUCAUGCAUGUGUUUAUUUAUUGUCUGUCUUCUCCCAUCAGUGUAACCUCCACCGGGAUAGGCACCUUGUUUAGUUCACUGUUCUCCAAGGGCUUAGAAGAACAUCUGGCACGUUUGCAAUAAAAAUGCAUUGAAUGAAAGAGUGAGUGGGUUCUUUGGGUUAGGCAGACACUGACCCUUGUCGGUGCUUUCCUGAUCCGAAGACUUGUGUGGGUGGAAUUUUAUGACGGUGUGGGUCUGAUUUUUAAAGUAUAUACAAGGACGCAAGCCCUCCGUUGUUUCUUCCCACUGAUUUGGUUAUGGCUGAAAAGUCCAGCUAGGCAGACAGAGCAGGUAGAGACACUAGACGCCCAAUAAUCCUUUAUUCAGUGAAUGGGUUGUGAGCUUUUUGCGGAUAGAGACUAGUGUCUGUUUGAUCCCUCUAUCCCUCGCAGCCCUCGGCCCGCUGCUGGGCUGCCCUACCUCUGUUGCUGUUCUGGAAGAGAAGACUGCCGAGCGGACCUAGACUACUCUGUGUGGCAGUGUUUGGCGCACUUGUUUGCCCAGAAGUAGCUCCAAGGAGACGAGUGUGCAAGUUCCCGGCCAAAGACGACGCGGAGGGGAUGUGAGUUGCAGCGUCUUCUCUUUUCUUUUGAUCCUCCACAUUAAACACAUUCCUCUUCAUAGGAUUUAGUGUCAGCUUGUUUGGGACGCAGAAAGGAGUUUCUAAAACAGGGCUUUAGAAAAUUCCCAUGAUUUCCUUCGUCCUUCACCUAAAGAGCUUCCAUCGUGUAAAGCCUACCCCCCUCUCCUUGGCUUUUGGAAGAGCCAGGACUUCAGAGGUCUGCCUGGUGUUUUGCACAGAGAAACUGCUCUGUAAACAAAUGCUGAAUGAAUGAAUGAAUGAAUGAGUGAAUGAAUUGUUCUCCUUAGAAGUAGCUACGAGGAACCCAGGUCCACAACUGGCUGGCUUUUGACGGGGAUCCACACUUGUGCUUUGACUUAGUUUUUCUCUCUAGUUUCAGAGACACUUAGGAGAGUCCUUCCAGUACCUUUUUCCAUCAGAUCGUCAUCGAAAUGUAGGUCAGAAGUAAAGAACACGAGCGUCUAUUGAAGAGUGGCAUCAAUGCAUUAAAAGGUACCCUGGUGGCCUUAAAGAUUUAAUGCAGCUUUUUAAAAUGGCUAAUUUAUACACUGGGCUGGUCCGGCUCACCCUGGCACACUAGAUCACAUUAUACAGAAAAGUAGAUGGAACACACAUAUAAUAGGCGGUAGCUGGGCUCAGUUAUGACCUUAUUUUCACUGAUAAAGACAAAUCUCAUAAUUCACUGGUAGCAGUCAGUCUUUUUUCUUUCCCUGGACUCAUGAGGAUACAAGUCACGUCCACUGAGCCUGCUCUGUGGAUGACAAGGAAACUCUGGCAGCCAAUCAUCGCAAAGGUGAUUCAUUCAUUUGCAUUCAGAUAUCCUGUUGGUUAAAAAGCAAUAAAAAUGUUUGGGGCUUUUUUUCUCCCCCCACACUAUAAAAAGUGGCUUACUGGUAAAAUAUACGCCUUCACUCAUCUUGCAGAGCUGCUAUAAAAAAUAACAUUUGGCAGUGGGAAGUGGGACUUUGCUUGAGGAACUAAUGUGUACAGAUAAUAUUUAUACAUUUCUUAGAUGGCCAUGGACACUUGUCAAGGCUUUCGUGUUCCAAAGACGCAUACGGAUAAAAUUUGCUGUGGUGUGGGUCUUGAUUGUUAAAGAGUACACAUGGAUUUCUAAAGUGCAAGGUUGCAGAAUGAAGUGGUAAGAGAAACGAGGGGCCUGGAGCAGCGGGGGUGGCGGGUGACGUUAGGCAAAGUACUGAAUCUGACUCUCACGCCAGUCGUGAGAAACGCCAUGCUUUCUUGGCUUCACGCUUUCCCUGCCUGCGUUCGUUCCCUCUCAGAUCGGCUUGCCCACGCCAGCUUCCACUUUCAGCCCUGUUCUGGGAGCCCUGACUUUGGCCAGAGAGGCCAGUUGAGGGCCAAGCAACCCGGUCGGGGCCUCAGAACGCUAGGCUGUUUCCAGGAGACGCGAAAUGGCUCAAGGAAAACCAAGAGGCAGCGUCAGGGGAGUGGAGGAUGGAGGGAUCCAGAAUUGCUGAAGCCUGGGUGCCCUGCUGGGGCAGAAAUCCAGUAGGGAGCCUGGAUGUUUAUUUCCAAAGCCGGGGCUGCAUCCUGCGUUUUGCUCUGCGCUGUGCUGAGUACAAUGUUGGAUAAAUGUUAACAACAGCAGCCAUAACGAUGGCAAUGGCAGCCGUGGUCACUCCACCUCCUGCAUGCCAAGGGAAUUUGAGAGAUUUCGCCAUUUCUUGUGAUGGGCGUCGGUGUACCCAGGAUCCCGGCCCCCUGGUAUUUUCCUGUUCUCCCGUCUGUUUGGAAAGACCCUGGGGAGGUAGGAAAGAGGGCCCAGAGACUAGUGCUUUCUGCACAUCCAUCUUCAGAACAGUCACUCCGAGAAUGAGCAAAUGCCCUUCAUGUGUCUUGUCUGCCAAUUAGACCCCUCUGUCCGCCGAGACCCUUUCAAAAAACAAUAAUGAAACCUUCAUUUUAAUUAUUCUCUUUCUUGGUCCCACUUCAGGACUAUGCCUUUUAAAUAAGUUACACCAGAGUUUCUUCCUUCUCAUCUCGCUCCUAAUUAAGGACGGUGGGGGGUAUCCUUUGGUCUUAUUUUCUUAUAAUUUUAAUUACACCGAUCUAGGCUUAAAACAGGACCCAUUUAAGUGCUGAGAAGAUAUGUAUUUUCUGGUUCAGUGAGUUUUUUCCUCCCACGCCUCUUCGAAGAGGACAUAGUCGAGAAACGGAGCUUCUCCGAGCACCAAAUCUCGCUAAGCCUGCCUUGCCCUGGACGAAGGACCGGGAGCCCUGGAGGGGACCCCAGCUGCUGCAGGAGGGCCUCGUAUCUUCAGGAGGACUGACAUCUUACCAUAAGGAGCAGCCAACGUGAUGAAAAGUCAGAGUGCGGAUGACAGCCCCAGGAAAUACCCCAAGGGAGCGCAGGGGUGUCUCUCGCUAAACAGCUGAAUGGUCUGCGAGUUUCUCUUCCCUGCCCUCCACAGCACUUGGCCUGGUCAUGCUUAGAAGGGCGGUCAUCAUGCCGUUUCUCUUCCUCCUCUUCCUUCCAGAUCCUGGUCUCGAGCAUGGCCUUGACUUCCAUGAGGAGUACUGCCACUCUGCUUCCUAGAGUCCACAUGAUUCAGUGGUGAGCUCCUUGGGAAGGGACUAAACGGGAUUCUUUUUCCCGAGUUUUUGCAGUGUCCAGCGCUGGACCAGGCAUGCAAUGCCUUGCCAAGGAGGUGAGGGUAUGAAGAUGAAUGGUAUAUGGUUCCUGUCUUCAUGAUCUCGACAUCUGGUGUGGGAAGCAGACGUUGUAACAGAUAAGUGCAGUGCGCGGUGGUUAGUGAAAGAGAGGCCUGGGUACAGGGUUCCAGGAAACCCAGAGGAAGGGGGUUCAGUCCAGCCCGGGGGGCUUCAAGGAAGAUUUCUGAUAGGACAACAUGCCCAAGCUGUCUUGCUGGAUGAGUAAGAGGAAAGCUGGAAGGGUGCUCCAAACAGAGGAGAUUAUCACUAGUCAAGACAGGGGUAUGACAUCUCAUUCGCUGAUGCUUCUCAGAAACAUUCUUGGUGGCCUACUGUGUGCCAGACAUGUGGCAGCAAACCGAACGGAAGCCCCUUCCCUCGCUCGUGUUCCAGUAGACACAGGGCCUGCAAACCUGCAGCAUCGCUGGAGAACCAAGAGCAGAGCGGGGAGCGGUGGCAGAAGAGACUGAACAGCAGGCUGGCGCUUGGGUUUAUGCGAGAAUUGAGUUGGUUCCCCACCUACUUCCGCCGAGGACUUGAGGCAUUUAUAAAGAGCUAAGGGUUUGCCAAACGGAGCUGCCACCGGCCAGGAGUCCCAGACCCCCUCCUGAGGUGGGCGGUUCUUCUGCUUCCUCCAAAGUCUCUUGGUCACUGCAGGGAACUGACUGCUAACAGGGCUGGAGAAGCGAUGCUGCCCCCCGGGACCCUGGGCACUCCUCGAAAUCCCCUUGGGUUGACUCAGUAAUUUGGGUUGUGGCGCACGGCGGGGAGAGCCUGGCACACACGGUGAGAACAUUGUAAAUGCCCGUUGGAUGAAAACAUGAGGGAUUGGACGUUAUCUGUAAAACGAAGGGGUGGCCAAUCCCUUGGAGCCUUGACUUGAGUCUAAGAAUGAGUAACGGUAGGAGCUUCCCGGAAAGUAGGGAUGGCCUCCUCAACCAACACUUCACUCCACUCAAGUCAAAGGAUAAAUAGCCAAGAAGAAAAGCUGUGUGCCAUCCAUCCAUCCAACAUUAGGCCGGGCGCUGUCUGAAACAUUGGCGCCAUUGAAAUGCCUUUAUGAAAGUCACUGUCCGAUGGCGGCAGGUAGACCGGUGAAGAGAUAAUCAGAUGGCAGUGAGAAAAGUACUAACCAAGGCGGGUAGACAGGUAGGGUGAAGGGGCCAAGAAAGACCUUGUCGGGGCGCCUGGGUGGCGCAGUCGGUUAAG